UGCGCAGGCGGUUUUGUAAGACAGGUGUGAAAUCCCCGGGCUUAACCUGGGAACUGCGCUUGUGACUGCAAGGCUAGAGUACGGCAGAGGGGGGUGGAAUUCCACGUGUAGCAGUGAAAUGCGUAGAUAUGUGGAGGAAUACCGGUGGCGAAGGCGGCCCCCUGGACAAAGACUGACGCUCAGGUGCGAAAGCGUGGGGAGCAAACA
rnacentral:rRNA from 1 species